UAUAUUGUUCAACGUCCACCUCCUUGGAGAAAUGUGAUAUCGUCAUCGUCAUCGACGAUCCGACGAGGGUACAGCUACCGUGUACUUAGAUGACGGCGUCCUCUUAAUCGUGUCCCCUUCUUUACUGACGGAAAAAUCUCUGGUGCCUCUUACAGGUAUCCACAACACAGGGCCAUCAGUAUCAUGGUAUCAGUAAAAGUGAUGACGAUUCGUUAACAAGUCUGCGGUAAUGGAACGGUGCAUGUCCUGGUACACGCCUGCCAAUGCAUACUUGCUUACCUUUUAAAAAUGGCGAUAUCAACCCUGCACCCUGUACGAAGUUUUGGUCAUCUGCUCAACAAGGACACUUCAUGGCUGCCUUCGUUAUGUAUCCUGGAAACAAGACUGAGAAGCCAGCGAAUCAGGACAUGAGCGGUGCCUAACCUCGCCCGUUUUGUGUAGAACCGAUGGAAUCAGCGGAGCCGUGCAGGCAAAUAAUACCAGCCCGAGCAUGGCUACCAGCAGCCCUUAUGUGGAUUUUGUUAUGUACCCUGUGCUCAGCGGUACCAAUCGUCCUCCCGUGGUUCAGCGACAGUAUGUUUUACGUCUGCCUGGGUGUCACCCUACUGUUCCUCCUGUUCGUCAUCGCGACCUACACGUUUCUUCCCAAAUCGACAGAAUACAAAAUUAGGGAGCGCGACAGUUGCGGCAGGGCCUCCUGCACUUAUAUUUCAAGAAGAGGUACGUUGUCCACCUUGCCACUGUCACACACAGAUCCCAUGGUGUCCCUCUUUGGUAUUGUGCUGUUUCGAAUACGAUACCUUUCCGGUGAAUCUCACGGGGGGAUGGUAAUGUAUGACUGCAUCGCGGAAGAAAGUUCUUCAAACAUGAUAUCCAGCGUCGCUGUCGCUGUACCCACAAAACGUUGUGAUUCACGCACAGAGAUACGGGACGACUUGCCAGCAGAAAACUCGCAAUGUAUUAUGUCGAGUGAAUGCAAUGAUCAACGGCUCGGCUGCUCAAAGGACAUGACCUUGAAUAAGGAAUUGAAGAAGACGUCUCUUGAGAGCAACGUACAUCUAAACGACGACCUUCCUGCGGAGCACCAUGUGGACCAAGGAAAAGGUGCUAACAGUGCUGAAGAGGUCGCGGAAAAUCGAACUAUUUGUCUAUCGCCGAAAGGUGGUUCUGUUUUGAACACGGGCGAUCAAAAUUCAUGCGAAGACAGCCAAGGAGCAAAAACCAAUUCAGAAAGAACUCAUGUUGCGAAGUCUUCGGCUGGUGUAUCGCAUCACGUAACUACGUAAGGGCAGCUAUAAGCUCUUCAAAAUAUUCCCUUUACGGAAGCCGUUGACUAGAUUCGUGAAGGUUAUGCACUCAGGGCUAAGCACACUAUCGCAACAAGUUGUGAUGAUGAU